AACGCUGGCGGCAGGCCUAACACAUGCAAGUCGAACGGUAACAGGAAGCAGCUUGCUGCUUUGCUGACGAGUGGCGGACGGGUGAGUAAUGUCUGGGAAACUGCCUGAUGGAGGGGGAUAACUACUGGAAACGGUAGCUAAUACCGCAUAACGUCGCAAGACCAAAGAGGGGGACCUUCGGGCCUCUUGCCAUCGGAUGUGCCCAGAUGGGAUUAGCUUGUUGGUGGGGUAACGGCUCACCAAGGCGACGAUCCCUAGCUGGUCUGAGAGGAUGACCAGCCACACUGGAACUGAGACACGGUCCAGACUCCUACGGGAGGCAGCAGUGGGGAAUAUUGCACAAUGGGCGCAAGCCUGAUGCAGCCAUGCCGCGUGUAUGAAGAAGGCCUUCGGGUUGUAAAGUACUUUCAGCGGGGAGGAAGGGAGUAAAGUUAAUACCUUUGCUCAUUGACGUUACCCGCAGAAGAAGCACCGGCUAACUCCGUGCCAGCAGCCGCGGUAAUACGGAGGGUGCAAGCGUUAAUCGGAAUUACUGGGCGUAAAGCGCACGCAGGCGGUUUGUUAAGUCAGAUGUGAAAUCCCCGGGCUCAACCUGGGAACUGCAUCUGAUACUGGCAAGCUUGAGUCUCGUAGAGGGGGGUAGAAUUCCAGGUGUAGCGGUGAAAUGCGUAGAGAUCUGGAGGAAUACCGGUGGCGAAGGCGGCCCCCUGGACGAAGACUGACGCUCAGGUGCGAAAGCGUGGGGAGCAAACAGGAUUAGAUACCCUGGUAGUCCACGCCGUAAACGAUGUCGACUUGGAGGUUGUGCCCUUGAGGCGUGGCUUCCGGAGCUAACGCGUUAAGUCGACCGCCUGGGGAGUACGGCCGCAAGGUUAAAACUCAAAUGAAUUGACGGGGGCCCGCACAAGCGGUGGAGCAUGUGGUUUAAUUCGAUGCAACGCGAAGAACCUUACCUGGUCUUGACAUCCACGGAAGUUUUCAGAGAUGAGAAUGUGCCUUCGGGAACCGUGAGACAGGUGCUGCAUGGCUGUCGUCAGCUCGUGUUGUGAAAUGUUGGGUUAAGUCCCGCAACGAGCGCAACCCUUAUCCUUUGUUGCCAGCGGUCCGGCCGGGAACUCAAAGGAGACUGCCAGUGAUAAACUGGAGGAAGGUGGGGAUGACGUCAAGUCAUCAUGGCCCUUACGACCAGGGCUACACACGUGCUACAAUGGCGCAUACAAAGAGAAGCGACCUCGCGAGAGCAAGCGGACCUCAUAAAGUGCGUCGUAGUCCGGAUUGGAGUCUGCAACUCGACUCCAUGAAGUCGGAAUCGCUAGUAAUCGUGGAUCAGAAUGCCACGGUGAAUACGUUCCCGGGCCUUGUACACACCGCCCGUCACACCAUGGGAGUGGGUUGCAAAAGAAGUAGGUAGCUUAACCUUCGGGAGGGCGCUUACCACUUUGUGAUUCAUGACUGGGGUGAA
rnacentral:rRNA from 1 species